GAUUACUAAGCUGAAGUUCAGCAGAUGUUUUGAAAGCAUCCUUUAGAGGUUCAAAUCCUCUAGUAAUCU
rnacentral:tRNA from 1 species